rnacentral:sRNA from 1 species
GCCAGGCAUGGUGGCGCACACCUGUAAUCCCGGCGACUCAGGAGGUUGAGGCAGGAGGAUCGUAAGUUUAAACCCAGCCUCAGCAACUUAGCAAGGCCCUGAGCAACUCAGCAAGACCCUGCCUCUA